rnacentral:rRNA from 1 species
GAUGAACGCUGGCGGCGUGCUUAACACAUGCAAGUCGAACGAAGCACUCUAUUUGAUUUUCUUCGGAAAUGAAGAUUUUGUGACUGAGUGGCGGACGGGUGAGUAACGCGUGGGUAACCUGCCUCAUACAGGGGGAUAACAGUUGGAAACGACUGCUAAUACCGCAUAAGCGCACAGGAUCGCAUGAUCCGGUGUGAAAAAACUCCGGUGGUAUGAGAUGGACCCGCGUCUGAUUAGCCAGUUGGCAGGGUAACGGCCUACCAAAGCGACGAUCAGUAGCCGACCUGAGAGGGUGACCGGCCACAUUGGGACUGAGACACGGCCCAAACUCCUACGGGAGGCAGCAGUGGGGAAUAUUGCACAAUGGGGGAAACCCUGAUGCAGCGACGCCGCGUGAGCGAAGAAGUAUUUCGGUAUGUAAAGCUCUAUCAGCAGGGAAGAAGAA